UAGUUCCUUGGCACCGAGUUGCCACGAGAUGUGCCAAAGUGUAUAUAUAUUUUUAAAGAUUUUGUAAAUAGUUGAGUUUAGGAACGUGCCAUGUGCAUCAUCUGGAGUAAUUGAGGAUCAAUAGUUAUGACGAAAAACAUCAAACAUUUAAAAUAUACCAUUUCAUGGAACAGAUUUUAGCAUUUAGGGGGGCAGGAACGGGGGUCGCUCAACAAGGUUACUGCACCUUGAGGGAUUUUUCCGUAAAAUAUUUAUAUUCUCCUGUCUUGUGUUGAAAUCUUUUAAUGUUGGGUAUUUGCAGCGUGGAUUAAUGUUUUUUUUUUUUUUUGUACAUGGCGCUUGAUAAACAUGCUGACUAAAGGCACAACACACAGGAUGACUUGUAUAUUUCCCAAAGCCGCUUUGGAAGAACAAGUGCGAGCUAGAACUGCCGAAUUGCAUGUACGCAGAAUUUCAUGUCAUAACAUGAAUUCUGCAUUGCUUGCUUCUUUGCAGAGUUGUUUGCAUCUCUGCCAAAGCCUUUUUUUUCCUCCCUCCUUCUACAUCAAUAAAUAACCCCAAAUCCAA